UCCCGCUUCACGGAUGGUUAGAGGAAGAGCUCGGCAGCGGUUUCCUACCGUCGAGCGUUACAGAAUUGCAUGGGUUGGAGGAGACCUCUGGAGAUGAUCAAGUCCAAACCCCUGCUAAAGCAGGUACCCUACAGCAGAUCACACAGGAGCCUGACCCCAUGGACUUGACUCCCACACUUCAGAUAUUUAUGAACAGCGAUGGGAUUUCUUCUCAGCCUUCUCUUCUCCAUGCUGAACAGCCUUCUCUCAUAAAGGAGAUGCUCCAGGACCCUCAUCAUCUCUGUGGCCUUCCGCUGGACUCUCUCUAGAAGUUCCCUGUCUUUUUUGAACCGAGGAGCUCAGAACUGGACAUAGUACUCUGGAUGUGGCCUCACCAGAGCAGAAUUGAGGGGGAAGAUCACCUCCCUUGACCUGCUGGCCACACUCUUUUCAAUGCACUCCAGGAUACCAUUGCCCUGCUUGGCCACCCAGGCGCACUGCUGGCUCAUGGCCAACCUGUUAUCCACCAGGACCAUUAAGUUCUCCUCAGAGCUCCUCUCCAGCAGGUCAGCCCCUAACCUGUACUGGUGCACAUGGUUAUUCCUCCCCAGGUGCAGGGCACUACACUUGCACUUGUUGAACCUCAGCAGUCUGAUCAGGUUUUGUUGAAGGGCAGCACAGCCCUCUGGUGUGUCAGCCAUUCCUCCCACCUUUGUAUAAUCAGCAAACUUGCUGAGGGUGGAAUCCCCUCAUCUAGAGUGGUCCCUACUGAUCAUUCUGACGUGGUGCUAAAGUGGCCAGAGUGGACCAGUACAUCAGAUCCACAAAGUGUGGAUUUAUUCAGAAGUCUAAAGAUCUCUCAAUACCCUCUUCCCCUUGCUCAUUACCACUGGCUUGUGCAAUGCUGAACUGGUGCCAGUCAUGUGGUUGCAGCUAAGUGGUUGUGUCCUCCUCCACUCAUACAGCAGGGAUGCAUCUGCUCUAGAAACAGGGAAGACUACAUAAAAAUACAUUUCGGCUAAUUUUGUUCUGAAGUACUCUAGGACACUGCAGUAGUAGAACUUAUUUUAGAUGAAAAUUGCACAUCUGCAAAGAUUUCUGCAUCAUCCCGAUAGUGUUCUGGCAUCUCCAUUUCAGCAAUUCCCUCAGUGCAAAGUGGAUUUUGUGAAAAGAAAAUACACAUGAGUGGAUUGCCACCUGCAGCUUAGUUUUCUAUGAAUCUGAAACAGUGACUCAGUACUCAAAGAUAUUGUUAGAUAAUAAUAUACCACUUAUAUGUGUGUAUAUAUAUAUAUAUAUGUGGAUGCCUUUAUGCUGUUGAUGUUUUUUUUCAUGGUCUCUCUAGGUUAGUAUUUCCUUAUCAGUUUUAAGUUCUGCAUCUCUACUUCAAAUAAGAUGAGAUGGAGUCCUUGAUUUCAGUUGCUAUAUGCUUCUCUUCAUCCUUCCCAACUAAACAUGGAGCUUUGUUGGAUACCAGCCCUCUUCUGGAAUCUUGCCAAAAGCAGGUGCUUCCUACAACACGUGAUGGCCUGUUUGAAAUAACAAAUUCUGUUAGGCAACAAUGGAGAAGAAAGAAAAACCAGAUACUGGGUGGGCAUUUUGGAUCACAGUAAUAUAAGGAAGCCUAAAGUUGUGUCUCUCGCCUAACUCCUCGGUGUCUCCAUAUCCAGAAAGGUGGAUGGAUCUCUCUUUGCAGUGACCAAGAAGGCAGAGUUCAUGGUGCACUUGGCAGACCUUGCUGGGUUGUUCACAGGUUAGAUAUGAGGAGGGUUCAUUACCCUGAAAUGAUGGUUUUCUGCUUUAAACUCAUUUGUGUUAAGGUAGGGAAAGAAUGAUUCUGCUACCAGGUCAAUCACCCCCAAUUCUCUUCUUGUUUCUUUUUAUACUUGGGCUCAAUUUCCUCCUUCUCCCCAGAGUUGACAUCUCAGUUAUAAGGAAAUCCAUAAAUUUUACUUCCUUUUAGAGCUGCCAAGGUUGUGUAUGGUUUGCUUUUUUUCAUGGUGAUCAGGGUGCUGUUGAGAGCAUUUGAACAGGCUUACAUACUCUCUUUUCUCUGCACAGAUAGCAAGGCUUUAUUCUGUAGCCUCUAUAAAGCCACAGAAAAGCUCCGUUUGUCAGUGAUGGAAAUUAGUGGAUACCUUUGUUCUCUCAGUGAGUGCCAUAUCCAAAAAAAAAUCAAGUUGUGGAGAUUCUCUUGCAAAUUCUAAUUAACAGUCAGGAUGGAUUCUGAAAUAGGUGGGAAACGGGAAUGUAUUCUGGAAUAUUUUUGCAUGAUAUGCCUGGUGGUACGUCAGGAUUGUGCAUUUUGAAAAGUGCCAUUGACAUCAGUGAAGGGAAUGCAGUGAAUUCAGUGAAUGCUGACACAGACAAUGCGAUUGGAACCAGAAAUAAAGGACUGAAUUGAUUUCUCCUAAUUUAGAUACCUUCAGCUGAGCUAGCCUUGAAUGUACCCAUCUCCACUGAGUAUAAAGGGACCCUAGGGUGACUUGCUCAUAUGUAAAGGUCUAUACUCUGGAAUGUUUAAUAUUAACUAAAAUUAAUCUUACUCACAAGAGUUGGUUUCUUAUUCAUUUCAGCUUUCUGCCAUGUAUCAGUUUUCUUAUGUGGGGUCAUAUUAUGGACUGAUUACAGGAUCAGAGCCUGUCUCCAUCUUAUUAGCAGAAGCUGUGGGAAAAGAAAGGAAUACAGAGAAAAGAAGCAACUGGAUAAGGCAAAUCUUUGCUCCUAAUCUGAGUAUUGUAUGUAAUGGCUGCCUGGGAAACGUGUGGUAGGAGAAAUUAAUGAUUCUGAAAUGAGAAAAACCUGGUAAGACAAUGUCUUCAAACCCAGCUCUGGAUGCUUCUGUAAAUCCUACAAAUCCCAGUGCAUCAAAGGUGCAGUAAAGGGGCCACUUUAUCCUCGAGUUUGUUGGUCUACUGGGAAACACUGCCAGCUCCUGAGAAGGCAGCACCUUGCGUUGUUCUACCUUACUCUGGCUCUCAGCCCAGUGUGGAGUCCCAGGGAGAGAGAGAAUUACCGCAACGCUUCAGGAAAGGAUAAACAAGCGCGCAGCACCUGGGCUCGAAGCCACGCUUUAUCUCAAACCUCCUGAAGCAUAUGUGAGCCUCAUUUUUGCCAAGGCCAACCCAUCCUUUCCGUCUGAAUGCAGCAAGCCGCAAAUCCAGGAGGGAUGCUCUGCCCAAGGUGUGAGAAGAUCCUGCGGAUUCGCAUGCCUCUGCUCCUGUGCCUCAGCUGCUGAACGCUGAAAUCUCCACUGGUUGGACAGUGAGACUGGAAGCACACAGAAGCGAUAAAGAACAACGCGAGCGGAUUCAAAGGGGAUUUGGAUCAUUUAGUUGAUGAGCCAGCAGAUGGCAAAUGCUGCUUAGUAUAGAAAAUGAAAAGUAAUUAGUCUGGGAACAAAGAGCAAAUGUAAGGAAGGGGUGUUAUAUUCAGCACGCUGAUCAGAGAGAAAAAGGGGUAACCGUGGAAAAAAAUCAUAGAAACCGUCACUUCAGUGCACAGCUGCAAUAAAAAAGGCAAACAAGACACUAAACUGAUGGAACAAUGAGCUAUAAUGCACCAGGAAAGAGGCAAUACAGUCCUCUGGAAGAUGGUUAUUAGGCCUCGCUAGAAUACUGCGUGGAGCAUGGGUCACUGUCUCAGGAAGGUUAUGUUUGGAGAAAGGUGUAUUAUAAAGCAACUAAACUCUAAUGGUUUCAGUGAUCUCAGUUCUGAGGCAAAGUUAAGAGGCUCAUUUUAAGGGGUCAAAGAGUCCUUAAAGGGAUUUUAAAAUUAUAGUAACAAUCAGUAGUGUUACCAGACAACAUUUAGAGUGCUAUGAGAUUAUGAAAAUUAAGGAAGUGGUGCUGAGCACAGAGCAGAAACUUCACAAACUGCUGCACAAAAAGAAGAGACCAUUUCCUUCUGACUGCACUGUGUUAGCUGAGGGUCAGUUCAGCUUCAGGAGCGCUUGGGCCAGUGAGUGGUGCACUGUUACAGUACAUGAGACUAUCACGUGGAACAAGCAGAAGGGCAGGAAAGGCCUGGAAAAAAUGGUUCAGGGUUUGUUUUUAUUUGCUUUCUGCAUGUAUAGGUUCUUAAACUGUACCUUGUCUACCAAUAAAAUGUGCAUCCUUUGCACACAAGUCAUAACAAAUGUGCACUGGGGCAAAGAAGAAGAAAGAACAGCGUGGGAUCAUACUGUGUACAAAUAAGCAAGUUUCAGGUUUAGUUGAGACAAAGAAUUGUUGUUGGGUUGCUGCUUGAGAGAGCAUAGAAUCACAGAAUGUUUUGGGUUGGAAGGACCUCAAUACCCACCUAGCUCCAACCCUCUGCCAUGGGCAGGGCUGCCCCCCCCCAGCUCAGGCUGCCAAGGGCCCCAUCCAACCUGGCCUUGAGUGCCAGCAGGAAUGGGCCACAGGAACAUGAGAGGCUGAACUGGAGUUAUAUCCACCUAUGUUUAAAAAAGGUUGGUUUUUAGCAAUAUAUCACCAGGAAAUAGAAGGCAAGCCUCCUAAAAGAGAGCUGUUUUCUAUGGCUUAAGCUUAGAUCAUGAUUAAGCUUUGCCCUUGUUGAUGCUGGCAGCUCUAUAAAAGGGAAAGCAAGACAGGAGCAGGCAAGAUUGAGCUUGACUCUGUUGUGCAGUGAGGAAGGUAUCGAAUACUCACACUCCACAUCUGCAUGGUUGUGGCUCCCCAGUCUUAGUUCCACUCUACUGUUAUAAAGAAAAUGGUUUUGUGCUGAAAAUGCCUUGUGCGGAUUUACUACAGAUGGUGCCGUAUCGCUAGUGGAAAAACACAGGUCUGAAUCUGCUGAUGUUGUUGCAGCUAGGCAAAGCUUUCCAGUGCCUCUGAAGUUGAUGCAGAGGUGGGAAAAUAGAAAUUGUGUAGACCGAUGAUCUGGCCUUGAAAGGACCAGCAACAACUGCUUGUAUCAACCUCAGAGACACAUGUGGGAUAAUCUACCCCUCUAGAAACUUCAUUUUUCUUCUCCCAUAGUCAGAUACUGGCUUAAAUUCCAAAGCCCUGCCUUUAUACUUCCAAGUUUAGCGUAAUUGUUCUGACUGAAUGUUCUUGUGAUCCAUAUAGCCAUCCAGUCUUUCUUUGAAUCCUACAAAAUUCUUGACCUUGAUGCUUUCCUGUGGUGAUAUCUUCCACUGUCCAAUUAUACGUUAUGUGGAAGAGAUUUUCCUUUGAUCACCUUUGAAUGCAUGAGGUCUUCAUUUCAUUGAACAUUUCUUUAUUCUUGUAUUAUACGGCAAGAUAAAGAGAAGUAUCUGAUACAUCUUCUCGUGGUGUAUUUGGUAAUUUAUCUUACUAUGUCUCUUACGCAUCUUCUUUCAGAGAUAAACAAACCUCAGUCUUUUCAGUCUCCUGCCAUGGCCCUGCCUCUGCCUCCACCCCCUGCCUUCUUACUCUCACUCUUACUCUCCGACCUCUACUUGUUCCUGCAGGGUCUUUUAGAGCUUGGAAGGGAUAAGGACAGAUGAGAAUGCAGCACUGAUUGGUACAGAGGGAGAAUAUUGUCUGCUUUAUUCACUGUCUCAUUCACUGAGUAGCUGAACAUUUUGUUGGCUGUUUGGAUUGCAGCUGUACCCUGAGUAGAUGUCUUUCCUGAGCUGUCUCUAUGGUUGUUUAGGCAGUUGGUGCUGAGCUCUUCACUUCAGACAUUAACUUCUGUAACCACCUCCUCUCUGGCAUCUCUAACAGUCAUGCUGUCUCACUUCAUCUGGCAGAUAUUUUGCUACCCAGGCAGUCUGCAUUAUCCAGCAACCUGACCUUAUCUCACCUUCCUUAUUCCUUUUUUCUUAUCACAUCAAGAAGAAAGGCCUUACCCUCAUUUUAAAAAGGCCUUUUUAAUGCUUCUUUUUGCUAUCUGCCUGCUUUUAUGCCCUUCUUAAACUAUUCAUGACUUCCCUUUCAUGUUUUUGUAGUUCUCAUGUGCUUUUCCGACACUGCCCGUGCAGACUUUAUGAUGGGAGCUUUUCUGUGCUGAUCUGUAAGGUUACUUACUACUACUUUGUAGUCAUUCAGACCAUCCUUAAGUCUAGCUUUCUGGUAGUACCUCCAAGAUACAGCAAAGAGCAACGAUGCAGGGUAAUCUGGAAUUGCACAGUACGUCCAUUAGAAGUGCCCAGAUGUGAAGAUGUGCAGAGGGUGGAGCUCUCAUGAUGUUUAGUAGGAGGUGUGCUUCCUCUCUUAUGUAGAAAACUCCUUGGAAAGUAAAAAAUAAUUCAUGUGAGAUUAGACAGUGACCUCCAGGGCAGCUGGGAACCAGGCACGCAAGUGCACUUCAGUCACAUAGGUGACUCCCCAUCCCAUUAGGACAGUGCAGGAAGCUUUUUCACAGUUUUGGAGCUGAAGAUGUUUCUCAUGUGCUGUUGUUGUAGUCUUGUAGACUGUGGGUUUUUUUUUUUUUUUUUUUUUUGUAUAGGAACCCUGUUGGCAAACUAUCACCUCCCUGAGCUAAAACCCAAAACAUUCUUGAGGCUGAAAAGGGAAUUUACUUCUGAGUGUUUCCUGUUUUUUGAGGCUAUUUCAUACCGCAGUGCUGUUCUGGAUAAAACAGGGUUUCUUUCAUAUCAGUAUAUAGUACUGGAAACGAAUAAAUUAUUGAAGGUAGGAAGAUGGGAGUGAAUUAGAAGUGGACCGAGUGAAGAUCAGGUGGUACCUGAAGAAUUUCACCUGGGAAAGUGCCACUGAGAGGAAUUAGCACUGAGGUUGUCAUGUGUUGGGCUGAAAUCCACGAAGCAUUUGUUUCUGCUGCCUUACUCAGAAAGGUGCAGAAGAGAUGUUGGGAGGCACCUGGCCACUUAAUUUUGGGGAGAGCAAAGGGGAUGGUGAACAAUUCCCAACAUUGUUUAAGAUGAGGAAGAGAGUGGUGAGUGGAACCUCUUUUUUACUUUAAUAAAGGCAAUGUAAUCUGAAUGUCAUCUCUUCAUUAUGUGGUGACUGUGACUGACACAUGAUUUAAAUUGGUACUUGUAAGGCAAAUGGAAAAAAGAAGAGAAUGGCUGAGCAGUAGAAGCAAAACCAGUUGGGUCACUUCUCUUUCUUUAGUGUAGAAUUCUCAGAACACGCUCACUGAGAAAAGGUAUAAUCAAAAGUGAAUUUCAAGUUGCUUUCAGGGUUCCAACUGCCUUCCAUCUUCUCAAGGCCCCUAUUUUUGCUUUGAUAGAGGCUUUGUGAGAUGGUUAUCAUACCUCUUUCUUAGGUCUGGAAACCGACAAUACAGCUUCAUCCUCUUCUUGUGGCUUUGUCUGGAUGAGGAUGGGGAAUUUGAUGAAACGGUGACCUAAAGCAGCAGGACAAGACAAAGUACAGUUUUUGUGUACACCUUGUUAAAUUUAAACUUAAAUUCUCCACUCUUGCUGUGUUUUAACUCGAUACGCAGUGAAGUCUACUGUAUUUCAUUUUGAUUAGAAAAUAAAAGCUCAAGCUAGUUGACAGGAUCUUAGCCUUGGCACUUUAAUUCCAUCCUAGACAAUAAAUAUGUUCUGAUGAAGCAAGAACAAAUUAUUUCUGCUCCAUCUGAACCUUUUUGAAGCUUUUGUAACAUCUUUGAAGUUUAGGUAACUUUUAAGGCCUAAACCCUUAAUUGACCAGAGCUGCAAAAGCUUGUUUUUGUUACCUUUAGAGAAGCAGAGUAGCAGUGAGAGGGCUGGCGAUAUGUCUCAAGGUACUUUUUCAAGGAUAUACACCCUUUCCCCAGCUGCUUUUCCAAUAAAGUAUACUCGUUUUGCUUGGUGUUCUCUCUGCUUUACCUGGUGGGACUUGUAAAUCAUAAGCUGUAUGCAGCACUGUGGGACUGAGAAAUACCUUUCUGGGUAGGUUUAGGGAUAAGAGAAGGGAAGAGAAAGGAAG
rnacentral:lncRNA from 1 species